AGGGAGUUGUAGUCUGUUGGUCACUUUGUGAAGAAGAAAGAGUCAGUGCUCUGAGGACCUGCCCACAAGAAACACCAAGAAGGUCUUGUGGACGUGUAUGAAGGAAAGAAACCUAAACAACAUAAUCCUGCUGAUCUUCAUUGCCUCCUAUUUACAUUAGGAAAAGAUGAAUUCCUUUGGUAGCUGAAACAGAAACAUCACAGAUGAAGCCAUGGAGGAGCAGAAGAGUUGGCACAGAUAAUCCAGAGGCAGUGACUGUAAGAAUAUCACAGCCAUGUGGGUAUGCUGCCAGUGUCUCAUUAGAUCCCAACACUCUUCCCCUGUUUCUGUGACCCCCCUGAUGCUCUGUUAUCACACAUUACUGGCUGUCAUGUCAUUCUGGAGGUCCUUGUAAAGGUGAUUUAAAGCACAGGGGGCAGUUGCCAGUUUUUAAACUGCUUGCCCAUUCCCCAGUUUUAACAAGCAGUUUUGAGGAAAGUAGAUGUAUUUUAUCUGUGAUGGUGAUGCUCCUUGUAGUUUUCUUAUUUCUAGCGAUAAGAUCUGAACUGUGCAUUUGUACUAAGAAAGAUGUUUAUAAUGGUUUUAGUAUUAUUUGUGCACUUCAGAGGCUUCUUAUUCUGACUGGAGACAACAUAUGCAUGUGUUAGGCUAUUCAAAUAAAUGAAUGUCUGGGCUGGAAUAGUCUGUGUAGGGAUGAAAAGGAGAGGAAGGUUAAAAGCUAAAUGAGAUCAUUCAGAAGAUUUACAAUCAGCUGUGAAAGCUGUUUCCCUGCACUAAAGCUAAUCAAGACAAUGAAUUUUCAUGUUUGUCUUGUACUGCAGAGGAAAUUGAAUCAGAUGUCUCCUGGGGAUUCUGUUAUUAUUUGGCAUUCACACACUGGCACCCACAUUUCUUCAGCUGCUGGCAGUGAGAGAACUUUGAUGCACGCACAGUAACUAGGCUUCUUACAAGAAAGUGAAAAAACAACAUUUCCCAGCAACCCCCGGUAUAUGUUACCUAAUGCAGAGAGAUCCAGCACUUAGAUAAUGAAUGGGUUCAUUCCCACCUGUUGGGUGG